rnacentral:rRNA from 1 species
AGUGAACGCUGGCGGCGUGCUUAACACAUGCAAGUCGAACGAGAACGGAUUAUAGCUUGCUAUAAUUGUCAGCUAAGUGGCGCACGGGUGAGUAAUGUAUAGGUAAUAUGCCUCUUACUAAGGGAUAACAAAUGGAAACGUUUGCUAAUACCUUAUACUCCUUAUUAACAGAAGUUAAUAAGGGAAAGAUUUAUUGGUAAGAGAUUAGCCUGUAUUGUAUCAGUUAGUUGGUGGGGUAAUGGCUUACCAAGACUAUGACACAUAACUGGUUUGAGAGGAUGAUCAGUCACACUGGAACUGAGACACGGUCCAGACUCCUACGGGAGGCAGCAGUGGGGAAUAUUGCACAGUGGACGAAAGUCUGAUGCAGCAACGCCGCGUGGAGGAUGACACAUUUCGGUGCGUAAACUCCUUUUAUAUGAGAAGAUAAUGACGGUAUUAUAUGAAUAAGCACCGGCUAGCUCCGUGCCAGCCGCCGCGGUAA